rnacentral:rRNA from 1 species
AAGCUACUAAGGGCGUACGGUGAAUGCCUUGGCACCAACAGUCGAUGAAGGACGUGGCAAGCUGCGAUAAGCCCCGGUGAGCCGCAAGCAGGCUUUGACCCGGGGAUUUCCGAAUGGGGAAACCCACGCUGGUUUAUCCCGGCGUAUCCCAUCCUGAAUACAUAGGGAUGUGGAAGGCAACGGAGGGAAGUGAACCAUCUCAGUACCUCCAGGAAUAGAAAACAAGUCAGUGAUUCCGCUAGUAGCGGCGAGCGAACGCGGAAGAGCCCAAACCAAGGGGCUUGCUCCUUGGGGUUGUAGGGCCUGUUUGGCCGUAAGGCCGCCGAGUCACAAACCGGAUCGUUAGUCGAACUCUCUGGAAAGGGAGACCAUAGCAGGUGACAGUCCUGUAGACGAAAACGAUCCGGCUCGGUGGACAGGUUCCUGAGUACCGCGGGACACGAGAAAUCCCGUGGGAAUCCACCAGGACCAUCUGGUAAGGCUAAAUACUCGUUGGUGACCGAUAGUGAACCAGUACCGUGAGGGAAAGGUGAAAAGCACCCCUGUGAGGGGAGUGAAAUAGUACCUGAAACCGUAUGCCUACAAGCAGUGGGAGGGCUAUACCUGGCGUAAGCCGGGGAUGCCUGACCGCGUGCCUUUUGCAUAAUGAGCCGGCUAGUUAUUCUCAGUGGCGAGGUUAAGCGUAAGCGAGCCGCAGCGAAAGCGAGUCCGAAUAGGGCGCUAGAGUCGCUGGGAAUAGACGCGAAGCGGGAUGAUCUACCCUUGGCCAGGAUGAAGUACGGGUAACACCGUAUGGAGGUCCGAACCGGUGUUGGUUGAAAACAGCUCGGAUGAGCUGAGGGUAGGGGUGAAAGGCUAAUCAAAUUCCGUGAUUGCCCGUUCUCGUCGAAAUGCCUUUAGGGGCAGCCUCGGAUGGUCGGCGAUGGUGGUAGAGCACUGGAUGGACUAGGGGCCUUACCAGGUUACUGAAUCCAACCAAACUUCGAAUGCCAUCGACACGUAGUCCGGGAGUGAGACAGUGGGGGCUAAGCUCCAUUGUCAAAAGGGAAACAGCCCAGACAUCCAGCUAAGGUCCCAAACUUUGUGCUAAGUGGGAAAGGAUCUGGAGACGCUUAGACAACCAGGAGGUUGGCUUAGAAGCAGCCAUCCUUUAAAGAAAGCGUAAUAGCUCACUGGUCAAGCGGCUCCGGGCCGACAAUGUAACGGGGCUUAAGCACAAGACCGAAGCUGAUGACUGAUGGAUCUUGCGAGGUCCAUCAUUGGUAGACGAGCGUUCCUACAGCAGUGAAGCCAGACCGACAAGGACUGGUGGAGUGGUAGGAAGUGACCCUGCCGGCAUAAGUAGCGACAAGGGAAGUGAGAAUCUUCCCCGCCGUAAGUCUAAGGAUUCCUCAGGUAGGUUCGUCCGCUGAGGGUUAGUCGGGAGCUAACGCGAGGCCGAAAGGCGUAGCGGAUGCACAUCCGGUUAAUAUUCCGGAACUAUUGAGAGUUCGUUAUCACGAUGGGGGGACGCAGGAAGCUAUGCGGGCCUAGUUUUGGAUAUCUAGGUUCAGAGUCGUAGGGGGAACCGACAGGCAAAUCCGUUGGUUCAUAUUCCCUGAGGGCUCAUGGCGAGGACCGCAAGGUCCGCAAAGCCGCAGACGCUACGCUGCCGAGAAAAGCCUCUAAGGAGAACUUUCAGUACCCGUACCGCAAACCGACACAGGUAGACGAGGAGAAAAUCCUAAGGCGCAAGUGAGACUCCACGUUUAGGAACUAGGCAAAAUGACCCCGUAACUUCGGGAGAAGGGGUGCUUCUUGUCGUUAGUGGCUUCGCGCCACGAAGCGUUACAGAAGUUGCAAUAAAGAGGCUCAAGCGACUGUUUACUAAAAACACAGGGCUCUGCUAAGUCGAAAACGACGUAUAGGGUCUGACGCCUGCCCGGUGCCGGAAGGUUAAAAGGAGAAGUUAGCCGCAAGGCGACGCUUUGAAUUGAAGCCCCGGUAAACGGCGGCCGUAACUAUAACGGUCCUAAGGUAGCGAAAUUCCUUGUCGGGUAAGUUCCGACCUGCACGAAUGGCGUAACGAUUUGAGCGCUGUCUCAACGUGGAUCACUGCGAAUUUGUGGUACCGGUGAAGACGCCGGUUGCCCGCCGUAAGACGAAAAGACCCCGUGCACCUUUACUGCACCUUAGUAGUGAAUGUUGGCGUCGUAUGCGCAGGAUAGGUGGGAGGCUUUGAUCCCAGGCUCUCGGGCUUGGGUGAGCCAAUGGUGAGAUACCACCCUUACGACUCUGACGUUCUAACCGCAACCCGUUAUCCGGGUUCGGGACACUGCUAGGCGGGUAGUUUGACUGGGGCGGUCGCCUCCUAAACUGUAACGGAGGCGCACGAAGGUUCGCUCAGGCUGUUUGGAAAUCAGCCAUAGAGUGCAAAGGCAUAAGCGAGCUUAACUGCGAGACACACAGGUCGAGCAGAUGCGAAAGCAGGUCUUAGUGAUCCGGUGGUCCCGCAUGGAAGGGCCAUCGCUCAACGGAUAAAAGGUACGCCGGGGAUAACAGGCUGAUCUGGGCCAAGAGUUCACAUCGACGCCCAGGUUUGGCACCUCGAUGUCGGCUCAUCGCAUCCUGGAGCUGUAGCAGGUUCCAAGGGUCCGGCUGUUCGCCGGUUAAAGCGGUACGUGAGCUGGGUUUAGAACGUCGCGAGACAGUUCGGUCUCUAUCUACGGUGGGCGCAGGAAAUUUGAGAGGGUCUGACCUUAGUACGAGAGGACCGGGUUGGACGGACCUCUAGUGUACCAGUUAUCACGCCAGUGGUAUCGCUGGGUAGCUAAGUCCGGUCGGGAGAAACGCUGAAGGCAUCUAAGCGUGAAACCCUCCUCAAGAUGAGAUUUCCCUGGACUUCGGUCCCUGAAGGCUCCUGGUAGACCACCAGGUUGAUAGGCUGGGUGUGUAAGCAUAGUGAUAUGUUCAGCUGACCAGUACUAAUU